CCCUAACAACACACAACAUUCCAGGAAUGUACUACCAAAGUUCUAUCAAUAUUUGAAUGUCCUGGACAUUUAGGGAACAUUCGGUGAACAUCUGUUUAAAUUAUUCCUGGAAUGUUACCAUAAGACAUUCUGUGAACAUACUACCAAUGUUCCUAUAUUUUAAGUUGCGAAAUAAUACAUACGUGUAAGAGAUACAACAUUACUUAUAACAUACCAGACAAACUAAGUGACAUUUUAGGCCUACAGUGCAAUAAUAUGUCAAAUUUAAAGAGUUUCCCAAGAUUAUAAACAUACAAAUGUAAUAAAAAUUAUUGUUCGCGAAUAUUCAAUUUGGAAUGCGAUUUUGUUAAUAAAAAAAAUACUUAUAACUUAUGCAAAACCCAAGAGAGGCAUUUAUAUUUAUUUCUUUUGCGUUCAUUUUCAAAUUCGCCGUGCAUAUAUUUUUGUGCAUGGCGCUUGAGAGGGCAUCACGUGACUAAAAACGACCAACCAACGACCUCGCUUCGGCCAUCUUGGCAUCUUCAUCUUGGCGACCUUGCCUUGCCGUGGAUUGUUUUUAGUUGUUUGUAUUAUUUGUGCUUUUUAAGAAUAUUUUUUUAAUUCGGAUACUUUUAUAAUAGCUUUAAUAGUAUUAUUAACAUAGUGCAUAAAAUGGUGUCCUGUUUUUAACGCAGUUGGAGUAGCAGAAACAAAUGUAGAUAAAAAAAUCUGCAGGAAUAACGUUUCAAUUAUGACAGAAGCUCAAAACAAAUGACUGUGAAUGAAAAGCCCGAUUAAAAGCUUUCCAGAAGAUCCUGCGAAGAAGACAUGAAGUAUAGAUCAGAUUUGUUAAUAGAGGAGUAUGUUCAAAACACUUUUUAGAAAAAGAUAUUGACAGAACUUCACUUUCAUCUGUUCGUUUGAGAGACUGUGCUGUUCCAAUAGCUUAUGUCACACAGAAUCAGCUGAGAGAAGUGGUCUACAAAAAACCAGAAAGGAAACGGAAUAUGUGGCUACGAAAAGCAAAAGAAAGGUGUACAAAGCAAAUGUGACAAAUUUUUUUAUAAUAUUUAGGAAUGUCAGCAAAUUACAUUAAAAAAUGUAUGUAAAGAUUUUUUGCAAUAAAAAUGUUUAUAUUUA